GAGCAAGCGCAAUGGAGGUAGAGAAGAGAGACGGCACGACCAGGAGCGCCGUCCUCGGAACAAGAAAGCUGCCUGCUUGCUUGCCUGCCUGCCUGCCUGCCUGCCUGCCGCCUGCCUGCUAGCCAGCCACCCCAAGUUCCCUUCUAGACGGUCUCCCAUCGCGAUAAGGCGUACCAGUCCGCGGUGUGAUCGAGUGGCUCUCGUCGUCGCGGGCGAUUCAAAUACGCGCGCAGACACCCGGUAGACGAACACCUACCCACAUAACCGCGACCAAUGGGGAUCACGUCAACGCAACCAGAUGGCUUUUUCGUUACACGAAAUAUUAAAAUAAAAUAUCUUUGCACGUUACUUUGCUCGUGAAAUCAUUUUAUUCUUAGAGAGUAAUUCCUAAGAAGUUCUUCCAAUAGUUGCCAUUUCGUCCCAGCUGAAUUGAAAACGUCGUCGAGAGCAAAGGGCCAACAGGCUAACCAAAGAUGAAUAUUCCUUCGUCUUCUCCUCUGAAGUGGCUCUCGAACGCGUCUCGAGGAGAAUACGCGGUGGCACUCGGUUCUAAACGUUGCAUCGGGUCGCAGCACGCGAGAGCGACGUAUCCACUGGUGUACACCGGCAUUACCAGUACUUUUCUCGCGAUAACGAGAGUCGGUUAUGCGGAUGUCCGUGAAACAGAUUGUUGGCCACCGCACGCGAAUCUGCGCAUGCGACGCAGCACCGAACGAGAGCGCACACGAGCGUCGCGGACGACCCAUUUAAUGCACACGUAUAUCCGCUGUACGUACAACAGCCGGUUCGCUAUUUAGCCCGAGACUAAACUGGAAACUCGAGAUAAACGACAUUCCCCCAGGCUUAUCUGGACCUAACCGUGGACCGAAUCACCGACAACUGAUGACCCAA